rnacentral:rRNA from 1 species
AUACGGAGGAUCCGAGCGUUAUCCGGAUUUAUUGGGUUUAAAGGGUGCGCAGGCGGGAGAUUAAGUCGGCGGUGAAAUUUUGCAGCUCAACUGUAAAAGUGCCUUCGAAACUGGUUUCCUUGAGUGUAGAUGAAGUAGGCGGAAUUUGUGGGGUAGCGGUGAAAUGCAUAGAUAUCACGAGGAACUCCGAUUGCGCAGGCAGCUUACUAAACUACUACUGACGCUCAGGCACGAAGGCGUGGGGAUCAAACAGGAUUAGAUACCCUGGUAGUCCACGCAGUAAACGAUGAUUACUAGCUGUUUGCGAUACAAUGUAAGCGGCUGAGCGAAAGCGUUAAGUAAUCCACCUGGGGAGUACGUUCGCAAGAAUGAAACUCAAAGGAAUUGGCGGG